rnacentral:rRNA from 1 species
UACGGAAGGGGCAAGCGUUGUUCGGAAUCAUUGGGCGUAAAGGGGGCGUAGGUGGUUCUGUAUGUCUACCGUGAAAGCGUACGGCUCAACCGUAUUUUGUCGGUAGAAACUGCAGGACUUGAGGCUGGGAGGGGCUGGUGGAAUUCCCUGUGUAGCGGUGAAAUGCGUAGAGAUGGGGGAGAACACUCGUGGCGAAGGCGGCCAGCUAGACCAGUUCUGACACUGAGGCGCGAAAGCGUGGGGAGCAAACAGG